UACGUAGGGGGCUAGCGUUGUCCGGAAUCAUUGGGCGUAAAGAGCGUGUAGGCGGCUCGGUAAGUCCGCUGUGAAAGUCCAGGGCUCAACCCUGGAAUGCCAGUGGAAACUGUCGAGCUAGAGUCCGGAAGAGGCGAGUGGAAUUCCUGGUGUAGCGGUGAAAUGCGCAGAUAUCAGGAGGAACACCAAUGGCGAAGGCAGCUCGGUGGGACGGUACUGACGCUGAGGCGCGAAAGCCAGGGGAGCGAACGGA
rnacentral:rRNA from 1 species